rnacentral:rRNA from 1 species
AGACCAGACUCCUACGGGAGGCAGCAGUGAGGAAUAUUGGUCAAUGGGCGUAAGCCUGAACCAGCCAAGUCGCGUGAGGGACGACGGCCCUACGGGUUGUAAACCUCUUUUGCCGGGGGACAAACGGCGGCACGCGUGCCGUCCUGAGGGUACCCGGAGAAAAAGCAUCGGCUAACUCCGUGCCAGCAGCCGCGGUAAUACGGAGGAUGCGAGCGUUAUCCGGAUUUAUUGGGUUUAAAGGGUGCGUAGGGGGGCGGCCAAGUCGGCGGUAAAAUGCGGGGGCACCCCCCCGGCCCGCCGUUGAAACUGGCAGUCUCGAGUUGGAGAGAAGUAUGCGGAAUGCGCGGUGUAGCGGUGAAAUGCAUAGAUAUCGCGCAGAACUCCGAUUGCGAAGGCAGCAUGCCGGCUCCACACUGACGCUGAGGCACGAAAGCGUGGGUAUCGAACAGGAUUAGAUACCCUAGUACG